GACGAACGCUGGCGGCGUGCUUAACACAUGCAAGUCGAACGAUGAAGCCGGAGCUUGCUCUGGUGAAUUAGUGGCGAACGGGUGAGUAACACGUGAGUAACCUGCCCUUGACUCUGGGAUAACUGCGGGAAACUGUAGCUAAUACCGGAUACGACCCUCGGAGGCAUCUCCUGGGGGUGGAAAGAAUUUCGGUCAAGGAUGGACUCGCGGUCUAUCAGCUAGUUGGUGAGGUAACGGCUCACCAAGGCGACGACGGGUAGCCGGCCUGAGAGGGUGCCCGGCCACACUGGGACUGAGACACGGCCCAGACUCCUACGGGAGGCAGCAGUGGGGAAUAUUGCACAAUGGGCGCAAGCCUGAUGCAGCAACGCCGCGUGAGGGAUGACGGCCUUCGGGUUGUAAACCUCUUUUAGUAGGGAAGAAGCGAAAGUGACGGUACCUGCAGAAAAAGCACCGGCUAACUACGUGCCAGCAGCCGCGGUAA
rnacentral:rRNA from 1 species